rnacentral:rRNA from 1 species
UACGUAGGGGGCAAGCGUUGUCCGGAAUCAUUGGGCGUAAAGAGCGUGUAGGCGGCUCGAUAAGUCUGCUGUGAAAGUCCAGGGCUCAACCCUGGAAGGCCGGUGGAAACUGUCGGGCUAGAGUCCGGAAGAGGAGAGUGGAAUUCCCGGUGUAGCGGUGAAAUGCGCAGAUAUCAGGAAGAACACCCGUGGCUAAGGCGGCUCUCUAGUACGGUACUGACGCUGAGACGCGAAAGCGUGGGGGAGCGAACAGG